GACAGAGGUGCCAAGCGUUAGGCGGAAUCACUGGGCUUAAAGCGUGUGUAGGCGGAAUGGUAAGUACCUUGUGAAAUCCCACAGCUCAACUGUGGAACUGCUCGGGUAUACUGCUUUUCUUGAGCCACUUAGGGGCUGGUCGGAACAAACGGUGGAGCGGUGAAAUGCGCAGAUAUCAGGAAGAACACCCGUGGCGAAGGCAGCCCCUGGGUCAAGAUUGACGCUCAUGCACGAAAGCGUGGGGAGCAAACAGG
rnacentral:rRNA from 1 species